UGACACUGCCUUUCGGCAUCCUCUCCCAAACUUCCACAGGGCUGAUCUCCGGAUCAGCCCUUUCUUUCGGGAAGA
rnacentral:sRNA from 1 species